UUAGACUUUCUUUGCAAGUCCCGCGGUAGCCGUGAUCCCCACGUCUCCAGCCUCUCUGGCAUCAACAAAAUUCUGCACCAACAGAAUUGGCGCUAGAGGAAGGGGGGCUUGAACCCUUGCAGGACCCUUGUUCUUAAAGGAGUACUCAACGGGACUGUCUUCGAUCAUCUUCUUCGACAUCUUCUUCUUCUUCUCCUGCC
rnacentral:lncRNA from 1 species